AUGAACGCUGGCGGCGUGCCUCAUACAUGCAAGUCGAGCGAACGGACGAGAAGCUUGCUUCUCUGAUGUUAGCGGCGGACGGGUGAGUAACACGUGGAUAACCUACCUAUAAGACUGGGAUAACUUCGGGAAACCGGAGCUAAUACCGGAUAAUAUUUUGAACCGCAUGGUUCAAAAGUGAAAGACGGUCUUGCUGUCACUUAUAGAUGGAUCCGCGCUGCAUUAGCUAGUUGGUAAGGUAACGGCUUACCAAGGCAACGAUGCAUAGCCGACCUGAGAGGGUGAUCGGCCACACUGGAACUGAGACACGGUCCAGACUCCUACGGGAGGCAGCAGUAGGGAAUCUUCCGCAAUGGGCGAAAGCCUGACGGAGCAACGCCGCGUGAGCGAUGAAGGUCUUCGGAUCGUAAAACUCUGUUAUUAGGGAAGAACAUAUGUGUAAGUAACUGUGCACAUCUUGACGGUACCUAAUCAGAAAGCCACGGCUAACUACGUG
rnacentral:rRNA from 1 species